rnacentral:rRNA from 1 species
CGCUGGCGGCGUGCCUAACACAUGCAAGUCGAACGAUUCUUUGAUUAUAGCAAUAUUAUUAAAGAGGAGUGGCGAACGGGUGAGUAACACGUAGAUAAUCUGCCUUCAGACGGGGACAACUCAGGGAAACUUGUGCUAAUACCCGAUGAGACCACAAGAAGGGAUUUUUUGUGGCCAAAGGCGGGCAGCAAUGCUCGUGCUGAAAGAUGAGUCUGCGUCCUAUCAGCUAGUUGGUGGGGUAAAUGCCUACCAAGGCUAAGACGGGUAGCCGGCCUGAGAGGGUGAACGGCCACACUGGGACUGAGACACGGCCCAGACUCCUACGGGAGGCAGCAGUGAGGAAUUUUCCGCAAUGGGCGCAAGCCUGACGGAGCGACGCCGCGUGAGGGAUGAACCAGCUUUCGGGUUGUAAACCUCUUUUAUUAAGGAAAAAGAUCUAUAUGCUAAUAUCAUGUAGAUUUGAUGGUACUUAUUGAAUAAGCCCCGGCUAACUACGUGCCAGCAGCCGC